UUUGUGAUCAAUUGUUAGUUAUUUCUGGAGUGUGGAUUGCGGUGCAAGAAUGUAGAAAUGCGAGCCCAUGUCUGACAAUGACUGCCGACAUUACCGCCAGACUUGGGCUUCAAGCUUCUUCUAUGCUGGAGCUGCCAUAGAGAAUUUGAUAAAUACUGAAGCUCAGUGGUUACAUGACACAUGUUCGUUCUGGUUGAAAUCCGAUUUCGGUGAUAAAGACUGCAAUAGAAUCGCCUUCAGCCCCCCAGCAGAUUUGCAGAUACUUCUUCAGGUCUCAAUUCGUGCUGUUAGAAAACUUCGAAGUGAAUAGUCUUCGGAGGGAUUGGUGGGUGCUGUGAGUUAAACUCAUUCGAACGUUAGGCUUCGGAGGUGCGGAAUGGGUGGAAUGAGCUUGGAAGGUGACGGGGGCAGCUCGAAGUGGAACCCUCCCCGUAUCAGGUGCUGAUGCCGCUGCUUCUUGCUAAGGGCAAGAUAUUGGUUUUCGAACCUCGUCAACAGUCGAACCUGAGCUUGAGAAUCCUGCACUGCGCUAUCUGUCUGGACGUAAAGUAGUUGAUGCAACUCACUGGUGUGAACACCAGCUUGAGUUCAAGAGAUUUCUAAAUGCUCAGAAGAUUUCAAGUGCAUUCUGCAUCGCGUUAAAUUCUGAAAUAGUUUUUAGCUGAAAUGGAUACUUCCAGUGAUUAAAGUCAUUUACCUUUGCUAGUGGGAAAAUUGAACUGUGGAAUGUGGACUUCUUCAUCACAUGAUGCAAAAGGAGGCAGAUUCUUCAUUUCGUGGGAUAAACUUCUCUGAGCUCGGCCCAGUUUGCUGCGCACGGUGAGAAUGACAAAUUUUGUAACGAGGAACAAUUUUUUUUUCAAGUAAAGCCGGCAAAACGAAUGAAGACAUCCCAACAGUUUUGGGACCUGGGCCGCGGAACUUCGAAUGGUUGAAAACGUAUGACGGUCGCAGGUUGCGAUCCUGGAGGUCGACGUUGACAAGAGAACCCUGCCGCUGCAGUCGGCAAUUGCGACUUCAAGUUUUCCUUCUCACCCGUACCCAGCUUGAGAGAGAGGGACAUAGAGUUUGACCAGACCACAAAGAGAUUUGUUGCUAAAGGGUGAAUUCGUCGUGGCCAUGGCAGGAACAGCAGUCAAAACUUUAAGUGAGAUUUUCGCUAGUGUCACUGACCUUUGACAGUGUCUUCAUUUGUCCAACUCCUACAUCAUGCGGUACGUAAUCUCGCAUGCUUAACACUCUCCGGUACAGGCGAAAUCAAGUGAAUCCAACAAUGAUGCACGGAUUCCAAUAAAUUUGAGGGUCGAAUAUCUACGCCACAUGCUUACAUGAACUCACUCAGUCGCUGCUGACCUAUAUUCAUCUUUGUAUUCCUAACUGAAAGUUUCGACCGUAAUCUGGUUCUCAGUUUUAGUCCUGUAGUGAUUCACCACCUCCUCCGGAUCCAAAUGUGCGUUACCAUUUCGUUUGAAAUAAUCAGUGCUUCUUACGAUACUUCCACCCCACCCACCUCCGCAAAUGUUUUGCACUUCUGUGAAAUCGUGAGUCUGGCGCCAAAAGUUGAAAAAACUAUAGCGAUAGGGUCGAAGUGUGAUAACGAACACGACUCCGCGAAAACCUACGCGGGGGUGGAAUGGUUUGUCUCAUUACUUCGUCCUCUGAUCGUUUAGGACGAGAUACGAAUGCAUUGUGGAGUUGUUGCAGGGAGAGAUGGCCCAUGAGUACUGUAUCUCCUGACAGGAGACUGAGAAGACAGAGAUUCUAUCAUAACACAAAGUGUAUACCAUACAGAAACAUAUAAUAAUGGUUGCGCAAUGCACAGUACAAAGGUGAUCGAUAUGAUUUUUCGAACAGUACAUAUACCUUCGAGACGAUAGUUCGAGGAUGACAACCUGGAUGAGAGUGAUGCCCUGUCAGGUCAUGUGAUCAGGGUAUAUAUCAGAUAUCUCUGACAUGCCCCCUCACUUGGAUGUGUUUACGAUGAUAUUCAAGUGGAACAAGGUGUCUAGACAUAAGGUUUUAGAAGUUUAACGGUGAACGAUGGUGAAGGAGUGUGAACGAUAGGAAGAAGAGUUCUGUUGAAAGUGUAAACAUCCGACACAAGAGGUGGUCUGUGAUGAUCGUCGGUCUUUGGUGAGAGUGCGUUCUUUCCUCGUGUCUUGGUGGUGACUGUUUUUUGAGAGUAUGUAGAUGUGUUGACUUUUUUUUUUUUUUUUUUUUUGAAGCAGAUGCAGUUGAUCUCCCUCAGGUGUUGGUGUAUCACUGUUGCUCUGCGUUGAGUAUGUUCUUCAAGUUUUGAUUUUGCCUUUCUAUGGCUCCAUUGGUUGAUGUCAUCGGGAAGAAUGUCGACAGUGAAGAAGCCGGAUGAGGUGAUCGGAAGGGAGCGGUACCACGUUGUGCGCUGCGGCCGUAGACCUAGUGCCUAUCUGAGUUGGACAAAGUGUAGAAAACAAGUGGAUGGGUUCAGGGGUGCCGAGCACAGAGUUUUUAAGGUGCUGGCAGAAGCUGAAGAGUUUGUGAGUGAAGUUUAGGGUUUCUAAGUAGUAUCUAUACUAGUGGCUAUCUAACCAAUUCAGAUCUUGUGUGCUUAGUUGUGAGCUAAAAUAAACUUCCACUAGUUGUAAGUUUAUUUUAGUUCACAACAAGUGAAUUAAUUAUGGAAAUUUUAGAAAUUUUAACAUUUAUUUUAAUCUUAAUCGAAUCACUUUUAACCUUCUUAAA